UACGGAGGGUGCAAACGUUGCUCGGAAUCAUUGGGCAUAAAGCGCACGUAGGCGGCUCGUUAAGUCGGAUGUGAAAGCCCUGGGCUCAACCCAGGAAGUGCAUUCGAAACUGGCGAGCUUGAAUAUGGAAGAGGGUCGCGGAAUUCCCGGUGUAGAGGUGAAAUUCGUAGAGACGUCGGAACAACACCGAUUGCGAAGGCAGCUCACUACGCAGUGAUUGACGCUGAGGCACGAAAGCGUGGGGAUCAAACAGG
rnacentral:rRNA from 1 species